UACAGAGGUCUCAAGCGUUGUUCGGAUUCAUUGGGCGUAAAGGGUGUGUAGGUGGCGCGCUAAGUCGGGUGUGAAAUUUCGGAGCUUAACUCCGAAACUGCAUUCGAUACUGGUGAGCUUGAGUCCGGAAGAGGCGAGUGGAAUUCCAGGUGUAGCGGUGAAAUGCGUAGAUAUCUGGAGGAACACCGGUGGCGAAGGCGGCAUCCUGGACCAACACUGACGCUGAGUGAGCGAAAGCCAGGGGAGCAAACGGG
rnacentral:rRNA from 1 species